rnacentral:lncRNA from 1 species
UGGGGAACAGCUAUAUCAUGAAGGUGUCAUCUAUGUAGGAAUGAGCCCAGUGAAAUGCAGUGGAGGUUGCACGAGGCUGAGAUUUGGAGAAAUGAGUGAGGAAGCUCUCAAAGUUCUGAGAGUGGGAGAAAGAAAAAUAGAAACAAAAUAUGCUUUCAUACUGACAGCAGAGUCAUGGAGGAAAUGAUCAACAAGAAUAUAGAAUUGAUCUCAACUGCGAAGUAUAAAGGUUCUGAGGAAAAGCAUUCUGCAUCA